AACGCACAUUGCGCCCUUUGGUAUUCCGAGGGGCAUGUCUGUUCGAGCGUCAUUUCAACCCUCAAGCUUAGGCUUGGUAUUGGGCGCCAUCCGCCUAAGGAUGUGCCUAAAACUCGUAGGCGGUUGUGCUCAGCUCCUUAGCGUAGUCAUUAUCAUUUCGCUCCGGACGCUUUGGGCGCGACCCGCCUGAGAACCCCCCAUAUUUCUCAAGGUUUGACCUCGGAUCAGAUAGGGAUACCCGCUGAACUUAA
rnacentral:misc_RNA from 1 species